GAUGAACGCUAGCGAUAGGCUUAACACAUGCAAGUCGAGGGGCAGCAUGAUCUUAGCUUGCUAAGGUCGAUGGCGACCGGCGCACGGGUGCGUAACGCGUAUGCAACUUGCCUUACAGAGGGGGAUAACCCGUUGAAAGACGGACUAAAACCGCAUACACUUGUAUUAUUGCAUGAUAUUACAAGGAAAUAUUUAUAGCUGUAAGAUAGGCAUGCGUCCCAUUAGCUGGUUGGUGAGGUAACGGCUCACCAAGGCGACGAUGGGUAGGGGAACUGAGAGGUUUAUCCCCCACACUGGUACUGAGACACGGACCAGACUCCUACGGGAGGCAGCAGUGAGGAAUAUUGGUCAAUGGGCGAGAGCCUGAACCAGCCAAGUCACGUGAAGGAAGACAGUCCUAAGGAUUGUAAACUUCUUUUAUACGGGAAUAACGGGCGAUACGA
rnacentral:rRNA from 1 species